AUUGAACGCUGGCGGCAGGCCUAACACAUGCAAGUCGAACGGUAGCACAGAGAGCUUGCUCUCGGGUGACGAGUGGCGGACGGGUGAGUAAUGUCUGGGAAACUGCCUGAUGGAGGGGGAUAACUACUGGAAACGGUAGCUAAUACCGCAUAACGUCGCAAGACCAAAGAGGGGGACCUUCGGGCCUCUUGCCAUCGGAUGUGCCCAGAUGGGAUUAGCUUGUUGGUGAGGUAAAGGCUCACCAAGGCGACGAUCCCUAGCUGGUCUGAGAGGAUGACCAGCCACACUGGAACUGAGACACAGUCCAGACUCCUACGGGAGGCAGCAGUGGGGAAUAUUGCACAAUGGGCGCAAGCCUGAUGCAGCCAUGCCGCGUGUGUGAAGAGGGCCUUCGGGUUGUAAAGCACUUUCAGCGGGGAGGAAGGCGGUGAGUUUAAUAAGCUCACCGAUUGACGUUACCCGCAGAAGAAGCACCGGCUAACUCCGUGCCAGCCGCCGCAGUAA
rnacentral:rRNA from 1 species